rnacentral:rRNA from 1 species
CGCGUAGGUGGUAGUGUAAGUCUGAGGUGGAAUCCUAUGGCUUAACCAUAGAACUGCCUUGGAUACUGUAUUACUUGAGUCAGUGAGGGGAGGGUAGAAUUCCUGGUGUAGCGGUGAAAUGCGUAGAUAUCAGGAGGAAGGCCUGUGGCGAAGGCGGCCCUCUGGCGCUGGACUGACACUGAGGCGCGAAAGCGUGGGGAGCAAACAGGAUUAGAUACCCUGGUAGUCCACGCCCUAAACGGUGGGCACUAGGUGUAGGGCUCGUAAGGGUUCUGUGCCGAAGGAAACCAUUAAGUGCCCCGCCUGGGGAGUACGGCCGCAAGGUUGAA